rnacentral:rRNA from 1 species
UACGUAGGGUCCGAGCGUUGUCCGGAAUUAUUGGGCGUAAAGGGUGCGUAGGUGGCGAGGCAAGUCAGAUGUGAAAUCCCAGGGCUCAACCCUGGAACUGCAUUUGAUACUGCCCUGCUUGAGUACUGGAGAGGAGAUUGGAAUUACGGUGUAGCAGUGAAAUGCGUAGAUAUCGUAAGGAAGACCAGUGGCGAAGGCGAAUCUCUGGACGUUACUGACACUGAGGCACGAAGCCAGGGGAGCAAACGGG